CCCUAACGAAGAGGGCAAUACCAGGCGGUGGCGUGGGGUUGCCAUUCGGGCUGAUGUUCUUGAGCAUCUCAUCGGUCGUCUCUCUAGACUGCAUAACGCUGGUGCGCCCCCCCGCAGAAGCAGGCCUACGUGGUCAUCAGCAACAAGAAGUCGUGCGGCGAGGGCAAGAAGACGAGCAAGGCCAUGUCGACGCCCACCAUCCUGACCAAGGACUCGCAGAGCCUCACGGCCAAGCCAUCGCGAAUUCAUUCAAUUCUCAAAAGCAUGGCUCAGCCACCCAUCACGGUCGCUAGAAGCUGGCCAGGCGUGGGGGCGACAACGGCAAGCACUCCCCUAGGGACCAUCCUGACUGGAGCAACAGUGGGUGGGAUCACGCCAUCAGGGAUAAGAAAGUAAACAAGCUCUACAUUGCUCUUCAUUCUUUCUGAUCAUAGAUUGGUCUCGAGAUAUUGGUGCUCUUUUAAUCCCCGAUUCCUCUUAGCCCUAAGAAAAAAGCUCUGUUAUGUUCAUUCUGAGCACCAAUAUCUCUCUCUAUCUCUCUCUAAUUCUGUUUUAUGUGUGUAAGUACUCCCUCCGUUUCGCAAUGUUUGUUCAUGCCCACCAUUACGUACAAACCAAAAAAUACUGAAAUCGAGUGAAAAAUGCAUAGAGAUGACCAUGCUACCCCUAAUCAAUGUAAGAAUGAGAGCAAGUAACUCACCAGGGUUGGAGUAAAUACAUGCAUGCACUCAAGGGUAUAGCAGGAAAAUGAACUAUAAAACACUCUUGGUUACCGCAAUGGACAAAUAAUUUGAGAUAGAUAUUCUCGAGGCUAUGGACAAAUAUUGCGAAACGGAUGGAGUAGUAGACAACAUGUCUAUUUCAAAAUAAACUCCCUCUAUAUUAAAUAAAUCAAGAUGAACUCCCUCUAUAUUGAAUAAAUUGAGAUUGAGUUGUUGCAAAUAUUUGUUCAAUGUUGUGAGAUGAUUGGAAUUAAUCUUCAAUGAUAUAAGAUGAUAUGAAUAAAGGUGGCUC